GGGCUCACUUUGGGAGCACAUUUACUAAAAUUAGAAUGGUACAGAGAAAAUCAACAUGGCCCAUGUGCAAGAAUGACAUGCAAAUUCAGGAAGCAUUCCAUAAUCUU